GACGGAGGUUGCAAACGUUGUUCGGAAUCACUGGGCAUAAAGCGCACGUAGGCGGUCUGUUAAGUCAGGUGUGAAAGCCCCCGGCUCAACCGGGGAACAGCAUUUGAUACUGACAGACUCGAGGAUGGUAGGGGUGAGUGGAACUCCAGGUGGAGCGGUGAAAUGCGUAGAUAUCUGGAGGAACACCGGUGGCGAAAGCGGCUCACUGGACCAUAACUGACGCUGAGGUGCGAAAGCUAGGGUAGCAAACGGGAUUAGAUACCCCAGUAGUCCCUGAGACGCCAAGGCACACAGGGGGGAUA
rnacentral:rRNA from 1 species